GUUAAAAAGCUCGUAGUUGGAGUUCUGCCAGGUGCCACCUGUCCGCCCCAGUGGUGAGUACGUGGUGCGCAUUUGGCCCUUUCAAGGGGAGCGUAUUUGCACUUAAUUGUGUGGUGCGGGAUCCUUGACUUUUACUUUGAGGAAAUAAGAGUGUUCCAAGCAGGCUCUCGUCGUGCAUAGCUCAGCAUGGAAUAAUAGCAUUGGACCUCGAUUCUAAGCUGUUGGUUGCCAGAAGCGAGGUAAUGAUGAAGAGGGAUAGUUGGGGGCAUUCGUAUUUAACUGUCAGAGGUGAAAUUCUUGGAUUUGCUAAAGACGGACUACUGCGAAAGCAUCUGCCAUGGAUGUUUUCAUUGAUCAAGAACGAAAGUUAGGGGAUCGAAGACGAUCAGAUACCGUCCUAGUCUUAACUAUAAACCAUGCCGGCUAGAGAUCGGAGGUUGUUCGUUUUGUGACGCCUUCAGCAUCUUGAGAGAAAUCAAAGCCUUUGGGUUCCGGGGGGAGUAUGGUCGCAAGGCUGAAACUUAAAGGAAUUGACGGAAGGGCACCACCAGGAGUGGAGCCUGCGGCUUAAUUUGACUCAACACGGGGAAACUCACCAGGUCCAGACUGGGUAAGGAUGUACAGAUUGACAGCUCUUUACAGAUUCUCAGGGUGGUGGUGCAUGGCCGUUCUUAGUUGGUGGAGUGAUUUGUCUGGUUAAUUCCGUUA
rnacentral:rRNA from 1 species